CAGCCAUGUUGCGUUAAAACACCAGUUCCUGUACAAUCACUGAAGUUAAGCAAUGUCAAGCCUGGACAGUACUUAGAUGGGUGAAUGUUUGAGAAUAUUAGGUGCUGUAA